UACGUAGGGCGCAAGCGUUGUCCGGAAUUACUGGGCGUACAGCGCGCGCAGGCGGUUGAACACGUGCCGUGUGACAGACGUCGGCUUAACCGACGUAGGCCAGGGUACACGGUUCGACUGGAGGCAGAGAGAGGGAUGUGGAAUACCCGGUGGAGCGGUGAAAUGCGUAGAGAUCGGGUGGAACACCAAGGGCGAAAGCAGCUAUCUGGGCAGGGUCUGACGCUGAGGUGCGAAAGCGUGGGGAGCGAACCGG
rnacentral:rRNA from 1 species